UACGGAGGAUCCAAGCGUUAUCCGGAUUUAUUGGGUUUAAAGGGUGCGUAGGCGGCCUAUUAAGUCAGUGGUGAAAGCCGGUAGCUUAACUAUCGCAGUGCCCUUGAUACUGAUGGGCUUGAAUGUACUUGAGGUAGGCGGAAUGUGACAAGUAGCGGUGAAAUGCAUAGAUAUGUCACAGAACACCAAUUGCGAAGGCAGCUUACUAAAGUAUGAUUGACGCUGAGGCACGAAAGCGUGGGGAGCGAACAGG
rnacentral:rRNA from 1 species